rnacentral:misc_RNA from 1 species
AAGUCGUAACAAGGUUUCCGUAGGUGAACCUGCGGAAGGAUCAUUAACACGUGAAAACGUAUUAAUAUUCAAACUUACCACACAACCUGUGAAUUUCACCCCGACCUAUUCAAUUGAUACUGUUCUAUACGAUAUGUAGUAGGAUAUAGUCUUUGACUAUAUGCAAUUGUAUAGAUACUAAGGUUUCGAGCCUAAGGUAUCAAUUGUUAGGCAUUUUUUUCUUUUUCGCCUACUACAAAAAGUCCAAAACUAACCUCUUUCACCCUAUUAAAACCAAUUUGACUGAUGUAUGUUGAUGGUCAAGAAAUUGACGUAGUCAACACCAUUUUAUCUAAACUAAGCACAACUCUUAGCAAUGGAUAUCUUGGUUCUC